GGUAUUUGGAGAUGCGGUUGACCGUGGUGUGUACGCUUUAUUUAUGACGUAGGACACAUGGUCUGCUUCUUCUCGAUAUC
rnacentral:pre_miRNA from 1 species